rnacentral:lncRNA from 1 species
CUGAACCCCUACACCUGGAGCCCCCAACAGGACCCUCAGAGGUGGAGCAGCAGCUACAAGCCGAGGUCAAGCACCUGCAGAAGGAGCUGGAGAAUCUGGCAGGACAGCUCCAAGCCCAGGUGGAAACCAAUGAGGGCUUGAGUCACCUGAACCGGGAGCAGGAGGAGAUGCUGUGGGAGUGGAAACCCAAGCUCUGGGAGGAGCAGGGGGAGGCCUGCCAGUCCUCUGUGCAGAACGACCACACCACCAUCAGCCACGUGCUCUCCCACAAUCACCAACUCGAGGAGCAGCUGGCCGAGCUGAAGCAGAUGGAGCACCUGGAAGCUACCAGCCAGCAGAACCAGCAGCUACAGGCCCAGAUGAGCAUCAUGGUUCUCCCUGGGGAAGAUUUGUUCCCGACAAGUUUUCUGGUUCAGACCACAGGCAGAGAGGCCGAGAGGAUGAGAAGGACCAGUUCAGUUUGAGGAAGAUCCUUUUGGUUUGGACAAGUUUUGGAAGAAGCCAGACAGCUUGGUGGCUCUCAAAGACCCUCAGCAGCAGCCCCAAAGAACAUGAGCAUGAAGGCAAGAAGAGGAGGAAGGAGUAGACACACAUCUCUUCAAAGCAAAUGAACUCUGAUUAUCCAUAACCCUAAUGACGCAAGUGCUAUGGGGCAACACUUUGUGAGUGGUUGGGAUACAAACCAGAUCUGGAUGCUACUUUUUAUUAUUGGAGAAGGUGGGAGUGGGGAGGGAGUGGGGAUAGAAAAUUCUACUUUGAAUUAUUUGGUUUUUUAAAAGAGUGGCUUUUAUUUGUGCUCCUCCCACCUUUCAGCAUUCAUAGAACAUGCUGGCCCACAUCCACAAUCAAGAUCACUGCCUUUUGUGUGACACGUAGUUCGCGUUAAUAUUUUGUGUAAGAACAGCUGCUUAUGAGUCAAGUCGUCCCAACUGCAGUGAGGUGGAGGAUGUUCACAUGUUGGAACUGUCCUGCCAAAUAAAUGUGGCCCCUGUUGCGCUGUGUUUUAAUUUGGAGUGGGGAAAAGAAGCUCUUGCUUUGUUUCAAAUAAAAACCUUUAGACAAAAUUCUCGGUUAUGUUUCCUUUAUGUAAUAGGCUGGCACAGUCUCAAAAAUCUUCCUCUUCAUCAGAUGUUUGCAAAACUUUAGGCCUUUGAGGUUGAACCUGGAGCUGAAAAAAAAAAAGCACUGUAAGGAAGGAAAGGCAAUGUUUGCAAAAACAUUCGAUCUGAAAAUCACCCUUUUAUGAGAGAGUCAGUAAAAAGAACUCAGGCAGUUUUUAUUUUCAUCUUGCUAUUUUAUUUGUUUUCUCCUCAAAUUCCCUUUACCAUCUUUGUUGUUCUUAUGACUCCCUCACCCACCAUUAAAAAUUGC